GCGGCACAGUCGAAGCGGUCAGAGAUGUUGAAGUCUGUUGAAAGGUGGAUACUAAGCUAAGCUGCUUACCGCGUCAAAAAAAAAAAGUUUUCAUUGGCACCACAAGAUAAACUAUUCAACUGGAUGGAAACCAAGGGCUGAUAUGAAAGAUAUGGAAGCAGAUGAUCUACUGUGGCAACCCCUAACUUGAGCAGCUGAAAGAAGAAGAAGAAGAAGGGCUUUCAGCAUUAUUGCUGAAAUUAAAACUGUUGAUUGAUGCCAUGUGACCUACAAUACUUAAAAAAAGCCAACUCUGUUAAAAGAUUCCUUAAACAUUGCUAUACUUUGCAAACACUUCCCAAGAUGUUUCAGAUUUUAAAUUUCCAUUCAGUUAAAUGAAAAUUAUAUGAUUGUCUGAUGCAUUGCAAUGUUUGGUCAUAAUCUUUCUUGUUUCAUAUUAUGUGGUUAUAAUAGCACAUCUUAACAUCUCAUUAGCUUUUAUAAUUGCUUCUGUACAUUGCCUUGAGGAAAAAAAAAUGCUGUAAACAUAAACAAGUAAAUAUUUCUUAGAAUUUCUUCAUCUGGCUCACUGUCUCUGAUCUCAUUUUAUUUAUAGCAUUCCUCUCACCUUAAUGUAAAACAUGCAUGUUUCUGCACUAAUAUUUGGUUUGUGUAUUGUAAUCUUGUGUUGCCUUUACUGACUGGUUAGUACUGUGUUUCAUAUUUCAGCCUUUCACACUUUAUCUAUCCUAGAUAAUUUUUAGGCAAUUAAAGUAAUAUGCUAGUCUGUCACAGGGUACACCUAC